UAGUCCACGCCCUAAACGAUGAUCACUAGACGUUAGUCUUGUUUUGCAGGAUUAGUGUCGUAGCUAACGCGUUAAGUGAUCCGCCUGGGGAGUACGAUCGCAAGAUUAAAACUCAAAGGAAUUGACGGGGGCCCGCACGAGCGGUGGAACAUGUGGUUUAAUUCGACAAUCCGCGAGGAACCUUACCUAGGCUUGACAUGCUUUUGACCGCCAUAGAAACAUGGUUUUUUGAUCUUCGGGUCAAACAAUUGCACAGGUGCUGCAUGGUUGUCGUCAGCUCGUGUCGUGAGAUGUUGGGUUAAGUCCUUUAACGAGCGCAACUCCUGUCGUUAGUUGCUAUCUGUUUUCAGAGCACUCUAGCGAGACUGCCUGGGAAACCAGGAGUAAGGUGGGAAUGAUGUCAAAUCAUCAUGGUCCUUAUGCCUAGGGCUACACACGUGUUACAAUGGUCGGUACAAUGGGUUGCAAGCCCGUAAGGGUGAGCCAAUCCCAAAAAGCCGGUCUAAGUUCGGA
rnacentral:rRNA from 1 species